UGGGGAAUUUUGGACAAUGGGGGCAACCCUGAUCCAGCAAUGCCGCGUGUGUGAAGAAGGCCUUCGGGUUGUAAAGCACUUUUGUCCGGAAAGAAAACUUCGGGGCUAAUACCCCUGGAGGAUGACGGUACCGGAAGAAUAAGCACCGGCUAACUACGUGCCAGCAGCCGCGGUAAUACGUAGGGUGCGAGCGUUAAUCGGAAUUACUGGGCGUAAAGCGUGCGCAGGCGGUGCUGUAAGACCGAUGUGAAAUCCCCGGGCUUAACCUGGGAACUGCAUUGGUGACUGCAGCGCUGGAGUAUGGCAGAGGGGGGUGGAAUUCCACGUGUAGCAGUGAAAUGCGUAGAGAUGUGGAGGAACACCGAUGGCGAAGGCAGCCCCCUGGGCCAAUACUGACGCUCAUGCACGAAAGCGUGGGGAGCAAACAGU
rnacentral:rRNA from 1 species